CUUCCUUUUUUCUUUUUAAACAGAAGAGACAAAGAAAUUAGCCUACUAUAUUUAUUUGAUCUUUGGUAUCCAAAAAGUCGUUUGAGGUCAGCGAGCAACUCUUCUGCAAAGCUCUGCCAGAGUUGAGGAAAAGGCAGCUGCUGUUCCUUCCUGCGGUUCAGUCAGGGAAACCCGGGCUGAAGGAAUUAAAAGAGCCCACUUAGGACUAGAAGCCCAGGCUACAAGAUCAUCGAAAGUCAGGGCAGGACAGUGAGCAGAAGGACACAUUGCACCCUCGGCAGCCACAUCCAUCCCAAAUGGAGUGACAGGAAGCUGGGAACCUGGAAGAGUCAAUCUACUCUGGCAAAAGAGCUCAUUACAUUGGAGCGCUGCACACUAGGGAAAGAGGUGACACUGGUUGUAGCGCACACGGCUGCAGGACAACCGGUGCUGGCAGUUAGCUCCUCUGUUUGACUCAGGGAGACCAGAGGGGCAAGUCAGCUCUGCCUGUGGGGAAUUCACUGCUUUACACAGAGUACAUCUGGAUGUUGACACUGUGGACGUAACAUCAACACAGACAUGUCUCCUGAGGAGGUGAUUGCACACAGUAUCGAAGCACAUUAAUACUCAGUAUAUACUAGUCAGGAUUAGUCUUGUGUAGAUUUCACAUAAAUAUUCAAAUGUUUUGCAAACAUGAUGCCCACAGAAACAGAAUAUGGUCCUUUAAAAUGCUUUUUUAUUAGUCAUUUUAAAAGUGAUUUUGACUCUUUUACUUGACAUGAGCGAUCAGGUUCCACGGAGUCCUCCGCAUUCCUUCACUUAUUGGCAUAACUUUUCUGACCCUUGAAAUAAUUGACAUUUGUAAAAUCCUUGAAAUCGUUUCUUUUUUGCCCUUAGCAUCACAACUUUCUCUUAGCCAGAAUACACUUCACUUACUAAGGCCUUAAGUUGCUCCAUCUAUAAACUUCUAAAAUAUACAUGAUUCUGGAAACACACAGGCUCUGGUUUGUGCAGCUGCUAGCGUGUAGGUGUGCCACUCUGUCCUUCUCAAAGCAGGUCUAUCGUUUUUCUACUUGGCCUUGGUUUAACUGAUGGAAAUCAGUUAAGUUCAACAACACGGAGAGGAUGAGGAAAGUCCAAGGAAAGCCGAAAGCACAAAAGGAGACUGCGUUUUCCUGCUGAUAUGCCUGGGAAAGCAGAAGAGGAUGGCCCAAACACUUGGGGCUCUGCACCCAUGUGGGACAUAUAGAAGUCCCUGGCUCCUGGCUUCCACCUGGUCCAGCCUGGAUGUUGAAGCCAUUUGGGGAGUGAACCAGCAGAUGGAAGAUCUCUCUCUCUCUUUCUCUCUCAACUUUGCC